UAACGUCCAGCCUUAAAUUACAAUGUGAAGAUCUAUGGCCCUAGAAACAGUUUAAUACUAAAAUAAAACUAACGCAAAACGAAGCUAUAUUUAAAGCUACUGAAUAUUUUGAGGUCCAACAGUCCAUUACAAACAGAUUAGGGCAAUGAAUUCAUCUAACAAAUCCUUGAACUAAUUGCAGUAUAAUAGACUAAUAAAGCAGUAAAAUCUACAACAGAUAUCAGGCAGCAAUUACAUUUCAAUUUCACUGGAGAAAUUACAUCAGAUUAGUCUCAAAGCGUGUAUCUGGAGUUUGAAUCAAAAUAGAAUGAAGGAUAAGUCAGCAACAGUCCGUAGUAGUUCGAAAAUGAGUUCACAACUCAGUGUACAAUAUCAAACCAAUACAUAAUUGAAUUUUGAAAGGACUGCAUCAACAAUCAACCAAAUAAACUUGCAUAAACCCAAACCAGCAUGCAACUGAACCCAGAAAUCAACACAUUUAGCAAAUAACCCAACAGCCAAUUCAACCCAAUCAGAUCCAAUUCAACAAGUGAUUCCAGAUGAUUUAAAUCUCAAAUGUUGAACAGAAACAGGAAAAUUCAAGCUAUUUUGGAUCCUAAAUAAGCUAGGGAAUUAAAUUAAAUGCUGGAAUUCGAAAAAUGACCUAAGGAAAAUCAAUGUAACAGUAUUUUUGGAUUUUCUGUUGCCUCUUUUUUUGGUUUUUUCCUGAAGAUUUAAGAACUAACAGAGUGUUUGAAUUCCAGAUCUGUUUUCUUUUUGGAUCUGAAAUUCAAAUUUCAACUUGUGGAGACUUAUGGAAUUUUGGGGGGAAUUUUUAGGUGC
rnacentral:lncRNA from 1 species